UACGUAGGGGGCAAGCGUUGUCCGGAAUCAUUGGGCGUAAAGAGCGUGUAGGCGGCCCGGUAAGUCCGCUGUGAAAGUCCAGGGCUCAACCCUGGGAUGCCGGUGGAUACUGUCGGGCUCGAGUCCGGAAGAGGAGUGUGGAAUUCCUGGUGUAGCGGUGAAAUGCGCAGAUAUCAGGAGGAACACCAAUGGCGAAGGCAGCCCCCUGGGAUAACACUGACGCUCAUGCACGAAAGCGUGGGGAGCAAACAGG
rnacentral:rRNA from 1 species